CCUACGGGAGGCAGCAGUGAGGAAUAUUGGUCAAUGGACGAGAGUCUGAACCAGCCAAGUAGCGUGAAGGAUGACUGCCCUAUGGGUUGUAAACUUCUUUUAUAUGGGAAUAAAACGUUCCACGUGUGGGAUUUUGUAUGUACAAUAUGAAUAAGGAUCGGCUAACUCCGUGCCAGCAGCCGCGGUGAUACGGAGGAUCCGAGCGUUAUCCGGAUUUAUUGGGUUUAAAGGGAGCGUAGGUGGAUUGUUAAGUCAGUUGUGAAAGUUUGCGGCUCAACCGUAAAAUUGCAGUUGAAACUGGCAGUCUUGAGUACAGUAGAGGUGGGCGGAAUUCGUGGUGUAGCGGUGAAAUGCUUAGAUAUCACGAAGAACUCCGAUUGCGAAGGCAGUUCACUGGACUGCAACUGACACUGAGGCUCGAAAGUGUGGGUAUCAAACAGGAUUAGAUACCCCAGUAGUC
rnacentral:rRNA from 1 species